UGUUUAUUCACUGUAAACUUGUGGCUUGGGAUCCCAACCAUCAGGACAACAGCAAGAAGGCCUGCCACUAUGACCAAGAGCAUGGCUGGGAGCAGUUGGACAACUCUGCCUCCCGCUAUCUCUGUGCCUGCUGUGACUCUGACUGCAAGUCCAGGAGGGUCAGGAGUUCAGCAUCAGGGAAGCGUGGAAUGGCACAAAAAGCUGUCCUUGGGCCGCUGACUAUCACUGAUGUGAAUUAUUGAUUGUCC